rnacentral:SRP_RNA from 1 species
UCGUGCUAGACGGGGAGCUAGCGGUGCCCUGUACCCGCAACCCGCUAUAGCGGGGUCGAAUUCCCCCUCGAGGGUCGGCGCUUUUUGGGACUGCCGCGGCUAAGUGGCGUUGAAGGUUGGGUCCUGCGCGGCGGGAGCCUAUGAACCCCGUCAGGUCCGGAAGGAAGCAGCGGUAAGUAGCAACUCCUGGGCGCCGCAGGGUAGCCUGGCCGGAGCUGGCUGGCCUUGGCAAGCUGGAGAGACCGAUUCGACAGGGGGUGCACGA